GAAAAUCCACUUUCCAGAGCCACAUUUCGUACAGCAGAGUCUUACAAACAUCACGUUGAGAACCUUGAUAAGGGUUUGGCCCAUAGUGGAGGCAUCAAGUUUGACUCUUUGUUCAAUGAGCUCUCCUUCUAUCAUGUCUCUCAGCCAGGGUUGCCCCCAUGCCUUGGACAUGAUUUGUUUGAAGGUGUUGUGUCGUAUGACCUUGCUUUAUGUAUACAACAUCUUGUAAAGGUUGACAGACAGUUUACGUACCUGGAAUUGAAUCGAAGGAUUAGUCAGUUCAAGUUUCUAGGUAAUGACAACUGUGACAGACCGUGUGAGAUCAACCCAGGAAGUGAGAAGCUAAGUGGGCAUGCUGUACAGAACUGGUGUUUUUUGAGGAUGCUGCUAAUUGUUAACCAAAUUGAAUCACCUGGUGAGAAUGAAGUUUGGCAACUAAUUUUACUGUUAAGGGAAAUUGUUGCACUUGUUUGUGCACCAGCCAUUUACAGUGGUCAGAUAGGGUAUUUGUGAGUUUUGAUUGAUGAGUACCUAUAUUUUAGGAAACACAUGUUCCCUACUUACUCUCUCAGACCUAAACAUCAUUACCUUAGCCACUACCCAGAGCUCAUUAUUCAUUUUGGACCACUCAUCCGUUUGUGGACAUUAAGAUUCGAAAGUAAGCACAUGUAUUUCAAACAGUGUGUAAGAAAACUACAUAACUUUAAAAAUCUGUGCUUUACUCUCUCAGAAAGACAUCAGCUUCUGCAGGCAUUUCUUCAUGCUGGUGAGCUCUUCCCUCCUGCUAUUGUAGCAGAAAAGGCAACAGAGUUUGUGCAAUGUCCGCCUUGGUGGGAGAACUGAGGGAAAUCAUCCUCAGGGCUUUGCCGUCAAAUGAUGAGAACACCACACAGCUUUUGAUCGACAAACUUGUAGGCUCGGGAUUGGAAUCCAAAGAUGAUCUUCAGUUUGUUCAUCAAGAAGACAUCAGUGACAUACUACCAACUAUAAAACUCAGAAAACUUCUCAAUGCUUUUAAAAUGGAGUCAGAAACUGUCACUUUGGAUCUCACCACUAUGCAGCACACUCCUUCCUUAUCAGCUGGGAGCUCCUCACCACAGCCAUGCUCUUCUAAUAUGUCGGUAACUACUGGACAUAUGGAGAAUCAAGCAGUCUUGAAAACAGUCGACCAUCUACAUCCCAUUUUAGGAAAUCGUGGUCAAAUACCUUUCAGGUACCAUGGCAGCUCAUGCCUGCAGAAAUUCAGUUUGCUCUCUCUUCUGGGAAGAGACCUUCACCACCAGCAAGACGACAAAUGGUCAGGGUGCUUGCAGAUGAAAUGAGAAAAUUUGAGCCAACACCAACACGUGCACAGUGUCUUACUAUUUGUAAAGCGAUUGUCCAUCAAUAUCCCCAGAGCUUUGCGGAUCAACUUCAUGAUGGCCGAGUUGUAGGGGAAGGUUACAGCUCACUUUUGGCCCAGAUCAAGAAUAGAAUCGACCUCAGCCGGGCCACUAGCUUCCGACAGCACCGGUCAGCUGGCAGUAGUCUUAAAAGAGGACCCACUGACACAUAUGGUUGCACCCGGUUUCAGCCUGAUCUUCCUUUAGAUGAGACCGAUGUCUCCAUUGAGAUUAAACGUCAGAAGCUGGAGGAUCUAUUCUGUCAAGAAGGUGCAAAGGGAGCUGAGAAAACUGAGGUAGAAAAACUGAUGGAGACAACUUUCUGCUUGCAACGGAGCCAAAUAAAUAGUGUGCCAGCACCUUCUGUUGCGGAGUUGAUGGAAAAGUGGCCAUACCUCUUUUUUCAGAAAGGCCUGUUCGCCCAUUUUGAGCUGCUCACUGACAUUAAUGUCCUACGUGCACUUGAACUUUCUAUGGAGGAGUGUGGAAAGAGCAUCUUAGAGUUUUUUUAAAAGCAAGCCUACCAACUCAGAAGUCAAGUCAAUCCUUUCCAAAGAUGAACCCAUUGAUUCAUCAUACCAAAUUGUUCAACUCCUAAUGGCUCACUUCAUGGAAAAGCAAGAUGGACUCAUUCUUCAAGAAAAUAUGUCUGCCACUCCUGCUGACCUCGAAAAGAUGGGGAACCUGCCUGUGAGUCCUCGUUUGAUCCUGCUUGGUGAUAAUCCGGGCCAAUGGAUGAAACGAUGGAUUAUCAGCCUCGAAGGCCAAAUAAUCUGCGAGGGUGUUCAGCCAACUUUUCUCUCUGGACUUGCUGCAUUGUUCUCUUCAUAUUACAUUUUCAAUUUGCAGUACCAAGAGGAAGCAGCAUCCACACUAGAAUUCCUUCAAAGGUAACAAGUUUGGACUUAUUUUAUUUAUUUCUAAUUAAUAUGUUAGUAUUAGUAUGGUGACAAUGGAAUCCUCAAGCCAUCCUAGAUGUACAUUACUUUCUUCUUUGAGCCGAACACAGUCGGAGUUAUAAAGAGAAAAUAAUAUACUGGCUUCCCAGCUUUGCAAUGGCAUUGAAUAGAUCCCGAGUUUUUGGAGCUCCAAAAACCGCAUCCAUCCAUCAUAAAAUCCAUACGACUCCAGGGGGUUAAUGAAGUGAAGCGAUGGUUUUUUGUAAGAAAAAUAUCCAUGUUUAUAACUUUUAUCAACUAUAAUCACUGGCUUCCAGAAACAGCCGUACGCGAGUUCCAGAUGGAGUCGAGUUCCGGCAGAAGAAUGACCUCUGACCCGACAUAUGAAAUCUUAUAUCAAAGUCCUUUUCUUUCAAAACGUCUUAAGCCCUAUUCGGACGGGACUAGUUUCACAGGGGGACGUUAGAGAAAUUUCUGUUUCACAGAUGUACUUUGAGAUUUUAAUCCUGUCCGAAUCUGCCAUGUCUGUCUUUUUCUCACACGACCUCUGUAAAAAUUCCAGAGCAAAUGACCUACUGUUUUUCGUCAAACUCGGCAGUCCUCAGAUAAAUCUAAUCCCGUCCGAAUGCGAAUGUCUGUGAUUGCCGAAAAUGUUUUCUUCUAAAACGCUUUUUCUUGUGUGUUUUAGUCAACGUGAACUACCGUAAAACCUCUCGCUAUCGCGCCGGUAUUCAAGUUUCUGCUUUUUGCGCACCGAUAAUGGAUGUAGAUGUGACGUAUUCGUCAAUUCAAACCUAAGCUUUCGCUACGUCUUCGCCAUACGUCCUACUUCAGGUCAGAGGUCACCCUUCCGCCAGAACUCAACUCAAUCAUGAACACGCAUACGGUCAUGCCAGAUGCCAGUGAUUAUAUUUUAUUAAUUUAUAAAAUACAGAUAUAUUUCUUAAAAAAAGGCAUGGCUUUCCUUAUUAGACAUUUAUUAACCCCACUGGAUACAUAUCGAUUACUUUUAUGCUUUAUUGAUGCGUUUAUUGGAGCUUCAAAAACUUUACAAAGCUGGGAAGGAUGUUAUGCAUUAUGGCUGGAAGAAGAAAGCCAUAUACACUUAAGGUUUGAGGACGUUUUGUUGGAAUUAAUCCAGAAAAGGGGACCAAGGCUGCAAGGGGAAAGGUGAUGUCCAAAAAAUCUGGGAAAACCAUGCAGAAGAAGACCAUAACAGUCAGUACCAAAGUAUCAAAUCUUUUAAAAAGACUUAUGGACUUUGAGUGGCACUUCAUUUAAAAUGUAGCUGACACUCCCCACUCAUGCAGUUUGUUUUCAGAAACAUGGUCGUCUGGUGUUAUAUUUUGUUUAUACAGAGUUGUUUAGAUA